rnacentral:tRNA from 1 species
GCGCCCGUAGCUCAAUUGGAUAGAGCGUCUGGCUACGGACCAGGAGGCUGGGGGUUCGAGUCCUCCCGGGCGCG